CUUAAAGAAAGAAAAACGUAUACUUGUGUGCGUUUGACCGCAAUAGUGCCUCUCUUAACCUUGUCCUUCAUAGCUAUGCCUUUGUACUCUUCUCCAUUUUUAGCUAAAAUUCAACCUCCAACAAUCAAGUACAGCUUUUGCCUGCCCAUUUCAAGCAAAAUAAGACCUUCUCUCAUCUAUUUUGGCGUGUAUCGAUGACCAAGAGAUGAUCCUCCCAUUUUUACACUACAAGACUUGUCGAAUCUCUCCGCCUCAGUCAAGAUCUUACCAUUUCGUGAAAGAACUGAGUGAAUCACGUGAAUCCCUGCUACUAUUCCAACAUUCGGAUUUGAAUAGCUCUGUUUGACUUUGUUUGAAAUCUGAAAGUUUUAAUUCCCGCUCAUGAAACCCUAAAUCUUUGUUUUUGGCCUAUAAAUACCUCUCCAAGUCUCAUCCGAAGGGCAUUCUGGAAUCUCCUCUAGAAAACCAAGUUUUAUCAUCCGAAAAUUCCUCAACAAAGCUAUUCAUUUGACUAUCAUCUUUAUAGGACCCUAGUGUUAUUUUUUUUAAUCUCUAUUGGUUUCAAUCUCAUCAAAAGGGAGUGGAUCUGAAGCCUCAAAGCUCAAGUUCACUGUCUCCAAAAAGCGGAGCCGAAGAGUCCCUUUUUGAGACUCGACGAUGCCGCGCCAACCAUGGAGUCAACAUCCGUCUCACAUUCUCAUUAUUGCUUGAGAUAGCCGCAAGAAAAUUAUCCCUUUGGGAUGCUGGCAGAAGAGCCAGUCAAUCACUCUUUUGAAUUUCCAUAUUGCUCGUUUCCUUUUUCUUUGUGUUUCCUGAUUGUUCCUCUAAAUAUGUGGCUUGUUGGGACCUUAUUUGAUAUAUGAUACUUUAUAAUAAUCAUAGUUUUAUCA